GGGGCUGUAGCUCAGUGGUAGAGUGCUUGCCUAAGCAUGUGUGAGGCACUAGGUUUGAUCCUCAGCACCA
rnacentral:tRNA from 1 species